ACAUCCAGAGAAUUUAGCAGAGAUGCUUUAGUGCCUUCGGGAACUCUGAGACAGGUGCUGCAUGGCUGUCGUCAGCUCGUGUUGUGAAAUGUUGGGUUAAGCCCCGNAACGAGCGCAACCCUUUAUCCUUUGUUGCCAGCACGUAAUGGUGGGAACUCAAAGGAGACUGCCGGUGAUAAACCGGAGGAAGGUGGGGAUGACGUCAAGUCAUCAUGGCCCUUACGAGUAGGGCUACACACGUGCUACAAUGGCGCAUACAAAGAGAAGCGACCUCGCGAGAGCAAGCGGACCUCAUAAAGUGCGUCGUAGUCCGGAUUGGAGUCUGCAACUCGACUCCAUGAAGUCGGAAUCGCUAGUAAUCGUAAAUCAGAAUGUUACGGUGAAUACGUUCCCGGGCCUUGUACACACCGCCCGUCACACCAUGGGAGUGGGUUGCAAAAGAAGUAGAUAGCUUAACCUUCGGGAGGGCGUUUACCACUUUGUGAUUCAUGACUGGGGUGAAGUCGUAACAAGGUAGGCGUAGUGCU
rnacentral:rRNA from 1 species